GAUGAACGCUGGCGGCGUGCUUAACACAUGCAAGUCGAACGAACUUUAUCUUUCGGGGUAAGGUUAGUGGCAAACGGGUGCGUAACACGUAGGUGACCUACCUCAGAGUGGGGAAUAACUAUCCUAACGGGUAGCUAAUACCGCAUAUGUUCGGUGAUUCGGUUCACCGAGUAAAGUCUUGGCGCUUUGAGAUGGGCCUGCGGCGGAUUAGGUAGUUGGUGGGGUAACGGCCUACCAAGCCGAUGAUCCGUAGGGGGCGUGAGAGCGUGACCCCCCACACUGGCACUGAGAUACGGGCCAGACUCCUACGGGAGGCAG
rnacentral:rRNA from 1 species